rnacentral:rRNA from 1 species
CGGGACACGUGGUAUCCUGUCUGAAUAUGGGGGGACCAUCCUCCAAGGCUAAAUACUCCUGACUGACCGAUAGUGAACCAGUACCGUGAGGGAAAGGCGAAAAGAACCCCGGCGAGGGGAGUGAAAAAGAACCUGAAACCGUGUACGUACAAGCAGUGGGAGCCUCUUUAUGGGGUGACUGCGUACCUUUUGUAUAAUGGGUCAGCGACUUAUAUUCUGUAGCAAGGUUAACCGAAUAGGGGAGCCGAAGGGAAACCGAGUCUUAACUGGGCGUUAAGUUGCAGGGUAUAGACCCGAAACCCGGUGAUCUAGCCAUGGGCAGGUUGAAGGUUGGGUAACACUAACUGGAGGACCGAACCGACUAAUGUUGAAAAAUUAGCGGAUGACUUGUGGCUGGGGGUGAAAGGCCAAUCAAACCGGGAGAUAGCUGGUUCUCCCCGAAAGCUAUUUAGGUAGCGCCUCGUGAAUUCAUCUCCGGGGGUAGAGCACUGUUUCGGCAAGGGGGUCAUCCCGACUUACCAACCCGAUGCAAACUGCGAAUACCGGAGAAUGUUAUCACGGGAGACACACGGCGGGUGCUAACGUCCGUCGUGAAGAGGGAAACAACCCAGACCGCCAGCUAAGGUCCCAAAGUCAUGGUUAAGUGGGAAACGAUGUGGGAAGGCCCAGACAGCCAGGAUGUUGGCUUAGAAGCAGCCAUCAUUUAAAGAAAGCGUAAUAGCUCACUGGUCGAGUCGGCCUGCGCGGAAGAUGUAACGGGGCUAAACCAUGCACCGAAGCUGCGGCAGCGACGCUUAUGCGUUGUUGGGUAGGGGAGCGUUCUGUAAGCCUGCGAAGGUGUGCUGUGAGGC